rnacentral:misc_RNA from 1 species
GAUGAAGAACGUAGCGAAAUGCGAUAAGUAGUGUGAAUUGCAGAAUUCCGUGAAUCAUCGAGUCUUUGAACGCACAUUGCGCCCCCUGGUAUUCCGGGGGGCAUGCCUGUCCGAGCGCCAUUGCUGCCCUCAAGCACGGCUUGUGUGUUGGGCCUCCGUCCUCCUCCCGGGGGACGGGCCCGAAAGGCAGCGGCGGCACCGCGUCCGGUCCUCGAGCGUAUGGGGCUUCGUCACCCGCUCUUGUAGGCCCGGCCGGCGCUUGCCGACACAUCAAUCUUUUUUCCAGGUUGACCUCGGAUCAGGUAGGGAUACCCGCUGAACUUAAGCAUAUCAAUAAGCGGAGGA